UACGUAGGGUGCGGAGCGAUUGAAUCGAAUACUGGGCGUAAAGCGUGCGCAGGCGGCGGCUCAAGUCAGGUGUGAAAUCCCCGGGCUUAACCUGGGAAUUGCGCUUGAAACUAGGUCGCUAGAGUGUGGCAGAGGGGGGUGGAAUUCCACGUGUAGCAGUGAAAUGCGUAGAGAUGUGGAGGAACACCGAUGGCGAAGGCAGCCCCCUGGGUCAACACUGACGCUCAUGCACGAAAGCGUGGGGAGCAAACAGG
rnacentral:rRNA from 1 species